rnacentral:rRNA from 1 species
AGGCGUUUUCCGUGCCGGACCGUGUCCAAGUCCCUUGGAACAGGGUAUCAAAGAGGGUGACAAUCCCGUACUUGACACGACGACCGGUGCUCUGUGAUACGUCUUCUACGAGUCGAGUUGUUUGGGAAUGCAGCUCAAAAUGGGUGGUGAGUUCCAUCUAAAGCUAAAUAUUGGCGAGAGACCGAUAGCGAACAAGUACCGUGAGGGAAAGAUGAAAAGCACUUUGGAAAGAGAGUUAAACAGUACGUGAAAUUGUUAAAAGGGAAACGAUUGAAGUCAGUCGUGACCGAGAGGCUCAGCCGGUUCUGCCGGUGUAUUCCCCUCGGUCGGGUCAACAUCAGUUUUGUCCGGUGGAUAAGGACGUCAGGAACGUGGCACCCUCGGGUGUGUUAUAGCCUGGCGUCGCAUACAUCGGGUGAGACUGAGGAAUGCAGCUCGCCCUUGUGGCCAGGGUUCUCCCAUGUCCGAGCUUAGGAUGUUGACAUAAUGGCUUUAAACGACC